rnacentral:sRNA from 1 species
ACACGAGGAAGGAGGUGGUUCGAAGUUGUAUGACUGUUGGACACGUGAGGUGACCAUCCGCUAGACGCGGAUCGUGUGGCAUUCACCCGCACCGUUCGUGCCGGCGAAUUCCAGAUGGUCACCCGGCCCCCGCACCCCGAUCAUGUCCGGUCGGCAACGGCCCCCGAUGGGGCGGUGCGGGGGCCGUUUCCU